AUUAUCAAAAAAUAUUGUCAAAAUAUCAUUAUCCUUGUAGAAACCAAACCAUAAUUGUAAGAAGUUUUCCGUACACACUUUUUCUCCCCUAAAUUACACUUCUUACAAUGCCCCUUCAAUCUCCUCAAAAGCUACAAUUAAAGGCUGCAUAUUUUCUUUCAUAUUUAAUUCAUUACUUCUGUCAGAUAAUGAUAAGGUUGCCCCCUUCUCUAUCCUCCC
rnacentral:lncRNA from 1 species